rnacentral:rRNA from 1 species
UACGAAGGGGACUAGCGUUGUUCGGAAUCACUGGGCGUAAAGCGCACGUAGGCGGAUGUGUCAGUCAGGGGUGAAAUCCCGGGGCUCAACCUCGGAACUGCCUUUGAUACAGCACGUCUCGAGUCCGGAAGAGGCAAGUGGAAUUCCCGGUGUAGCGGUGAAAUGCGCAGAUAUCGGGAGGAACACCAAUGGCGAAGGCAGCUUGCUGGGACGGUACUGACGCUGAGGCGCGAAAGCGUGGGGAGCAAACAGG